rnacentral:rRNA from 1 species
CGGAAGGCCCUUCGGGGUACUCGAGCGGCGAACGGGUGAGUAACACGUGAGCAACCUGCCCCAGGCUUUGGGAUAACCCCGGGAAACCGGGGCUAAUACCGGAUAUGACCUUCGGACGCAUGUUCGGGGGUGGAAAGUUUUUCGGCUUGGGAUGGGCUCGCGGCCUAUCAGCUUGUUGGUGGGGUGAUGGCCUACCAAGGCGACGACGGGUAGCCGGCCUGAGAGGGCGACCGGCCACACUGGGACUGAGACACGGCCCAGACUCCUACGGGAGGCAGCAGUGGGGAAUAUUGCACAAUGGGCGGAAGCCUGAUGCAGCGACGCCGCGUGAGGGAUGACGGCCUUCGGGUUGUAAACCUCUUUCAGCAGGGACGAAGCGCAAGUGACGGUACCUGCAGAAGAAGCGCCGGCCAACUACGUGCCAGCAGCCGCGGUAAGACGUAGGGCGCGAGCGUUGUCCGGAUUUAUUGGGCGUAAAGAGCUCGUAGGCGGCUUGUCGCGUCGACUGUGAAAACCCGUGGCUCAACUGCGGGCCUGCAGUCGAUACGGGCAGGCUAGAGUUCGGUAGGGGAGACUGGAAUUCCUGGUGUAGCGGUGAAAUGCGCAGAUAUCAGGAGGAACACCGGUGGCGAAGGCGGGUCUCUGGGCCGAUACUGACGCUGAGGAGCGAAAGCGUGGGGAGCGAACAGGAUUAGAUACCCUGGUAGUCCACGCUGUAAACGUUGGGCGCUAGGUGUGGGGGGCCUCUCCGGUUCUCUGUGCCGCAGCUAACGCAUUAAGCGCCCCGCCUGGGGAGUAC